GUCAUUUUCUAGUCAGAACUCAACUUCCCGUGAACCCCGAAACUACAGACAUACCCCAACCCUGGCCUACGUAACAGUAACAUUAAUCAGAACCAUAUACCUUUCAUGAACUUAAGACACGCUACAGUAUGUUUGUGUUUGUGGUGUCUGAUGUUAUAAUAGAGCAGGUGAUCCAAACCCUCCAUUGUCCAGUCAGACCAGUAACAGGAAGAAGUGAAGCUGGUGCUCUGCUAUCUUCCCCGCUGACUACAGAUUUUCUUCAGGUGUGCUGGGGACGUCCCUCCUGCAGCUGACCAUCAUGGGGGUAAAUGGCUGUGCCAAGCCAGUGUGGGGGGAUCUUCAGUGGAAGCCAGAGCGGAACCAGAGACGCGUGAAAAAGGAAAAGGAAAAAGGAGCCGUACUCGUCUUUUGGCAAUAAAUGUUUCCUGAUUCCUGUUGGAGAUUUUGUUCUACACACUAACAACAUUAACGUGUUACUAACUUUUCUUUCUUUCUUCUCAGGAACUAAACAUGAAAAGCAUAUACAGAAAUACACUUUAACAACCACAAUGUAUAAUGUAGAUACACACAUGAAAUAACUAAAUGAAGACCAACAGGACGCCAUCAGGACGCCAUCAGGACAUCAUCAGGACGUCACGUCACCGGGGCGCGCUGAGAGUCGACCCCUCAGGAGCAGCUCCAGAUCCACACAAAGACUCACUAACGUUUCUAUUUACCCACAGGCCCUUUUCCCCCUCUAUCACUUUCUGGCCCUCUCCCCACCCUCCACUCUCUCCCUCUCAUUUUCCCCCUCUAUGUGUUUCUGCCCCACUCUCCCGUUUAUUGUGUUUUUUUUUUUGUUAAAUAUAUCA